GUAACACGUACGCAACCUUCCCGUUACUGUGGGAUAGCCCAGGGAAACUUGGAUUAAUACCACAUAUUGCCAUUGGGAGGCAUCUCUUGAUGGCCAAAGAAUUUCGGUAACGGAUGGGCGUGCGGUUGAUUAGGUAGUUGGCGGGGUAACGGCCCACCAAGCCUACGAUCAAUAGCUGAUGUGAGAGCAUGAUCAGCCACACGGGCACUGAGACACGGGCCCGACUCCUACGGGAGGCAGCAGUAAGGAAUAUUGGGCAAUGGACGCAAGUCUGACCCAGCCAUGCCGCGUGAAGGAUGAAGGUCCUCUGGAUUGUAAACUUCUUUUUUCUGGGGAGAAAUGCAUCUUUUCUAAGGUGCUUGACGGUACCAGAAGAAUAAGCACCGGCUAACUCCGUGCCAGCAGCCGCGGUAAUACGGAGGGUGCAAGCGUUAUCCGGAUUCACUGGGUUUAAAGGGUGCGUAGGUGGGCAUGUAAGUCAGAGGUGAAAUCCCCGAGCUUAACUUGGGAACUGCCUUUGAUACUAUAUGUCUUGAAUGUUGUGGAGGUAAGCGGAAUAUGUCAUGUAGCGGUGAAAUGCUUAGAUAUGACAUAGAACACCGAUUGCGAAGGCAGCUUGCUACACAAAUAUUGACACUGAGGCA
rnacentral:rRNA from 1 species